AGAGUUGAUCGAUGGCUCAGGACGAACGCUGGCGGCGUGCCUAACACAUGCAAGUCGAGCGAGGAGAUCCUUCGGGAUGAUCCUAGCGGCGGACGGGUGAGUAACACGUGGGCAACCUGCCUCAUAGAGAGGAAUAGCCUUCCGAAAGGGAGAUUAAUACCUCAUAACAUUGCAGUUUCGCAUGGAACAGCAAUUAAAGGAGUAAUCCGCUAUGAGAUGGGCCCGCGGCGCAUUAGCUAGUUGGUGAGGUAACGGCUCACCAAGGCGACGAUGCGUAGCCGACCUGAGAGGGUGAUCGGCCACAUUGGGACUGAGACACGGCCCAGACUCCUACGGGAGGCAGCAGUGGGGAAUAUUGCACAAUGGGGGAAACCCUGAUGCCAGCAACGCCGCGUGAGUGAUGACGGCCUUCGGGUUGUAAAGCUCUGUCUUCAGGGACGAUAAUGACGGUACCUGAGGAGGAAGCCACGGCUAACUACGUGCCAGCCGCCGC
rnacentral:rRNA from 1 species